rnacentral:lncRNA from 1 species
CCUCAAUCACUUAGAGUCAAUUUUGACUUUAGUGCUUAUUCCAAAGUGAUGGAGAUAGUUUUCUUUUGCAUAUGUUGCUCAUGAACUUGGAGAGAUCCCAAAAGCUCCUCAAUUGAGAUCUCCUUCAAAUUCUUUGACUCCUCAAUUGCUGCCACCACGUGCUCGAACUUUGAUGAGAGGGAGCAGAGUAACUUCUCCAUGACUGAUAUAUCUUCAAUCUAUUCUCCAUUUCUCCUCAUUUUAUUCAUGAUUAAUAUUAAUCAUGAAU